GACGAACGCUGGCGGCGUGCCUAAUACAUGCAAGUUGAGCGCUGAAGGUUGGUACUUGUACCAACUGGAUGAGCAGCGAACGGGUGAGUAACGCGUGGGGAAUCUGCCUUUGAGCGGGGGACAACAUUUGGAAACGAAUGCUAAUACCGCAUAAAAACUUUAAACACAAGUUUUAAGUUUGAAAGAUGCAAUUGCAUCACUCAAAGAUGAUCCCGCGUUGUAUUAGCUAGUUGGUGAGGUAAAGGCUCACCAAGGCGAUGAUACAUAGCCGACCUGAGAGGGUGAUCGGCCACAUUGGGACUGAGACACGGCCCAAACUCCUACGGGAGGCAGCAGGAGGGAAUCUUCGGCAAUGGACGAAAGUCUGACCGAGCAACGCCGCGUGAGUGAAGAAGGGUUUCGGAUCGUAAAACUCUGUUGGUAGAGAAGAACGUUGGUGAGAGUGGAAAGCUCAUCAAGUGACGGUAACUACCCAGAAAGGGACGGCUAACUACGUG
rnacentral:rRNA from 1 species